rnacentral:lncRNA from 1 species
AGAAUCCCUUUGGUGCUGGCAGAAAUUGAAAGGGCAAAUUGGUUUUGCAAACUCAGUGAAAACAUACUUGGGGAGGCUCCUCUCUCCCUUUUACUGGUUUCAACCAGCCUGGAAAUCAAGUAAAUUCCCUCAGGGCUAGGCGACUGUAAUUCCCUAGGGCUCUGGAAACCUUUGGGAGGUAUGAUCUCCCUAACCUUCGGACUUGAGCGAGAAGAAGACAUCCAACCAGAAAUCCCUUGGAGCUGAGAGACUGCGGUUCCGCUGUGUGUUCUUCCACGCGUGGGUCCUGGUCCCUGGAGCGGGAAGGCUGGCACAUCAUGUGUUACCCUCAUCCAUAGCUCUCUGAGUCCAUCUUGUGAUGUCGUACAUACACUGGAAGUUCCUCCCAUUGUGGAAGAGAGUUUCUANCUCCCUGCGUGAGGAUGCCAGCCUGUUCUGGUUGCCUUCAGAACAAAAUGUAGAACUCUCAGCUCUGCCUGUGCCAUGCCUGCCUGGAUGCUGCCAUGUUCCCACCUUGAUGAUAAUGGACUGAACCUCUGAACCUGAUGAAUAUUCUUGGAGAAAAGCAAAGAUGUGGGACCUGCUGGUACUUCGAGUGUAUUAUCUGGAGAGAAAGGUGAGGAAUUGGCUGAAAUAGAGAGAAGUGUACAGGAAAGCCUUCCUAUUCUCUUUUAUGGCUGCUUCCUAUGGGGAGCAGAGGCCACCUAUCCUCAAGAGACUGCUCAGUGGCCUGUGAUGUUCUAACAUCUGCCUUUCUAUGCCCCACUUUUUUCUAUCCACCUUUAUCCCUCAUUUUUCAUACCUUCUUGCCAACUGUAUGUGCCAUACUUUAAAAGGUAUGCAGUAGUUAAAAACAAAAAAAGAAAGAAAGAAUUCAAGGAUAUGGAUAUAAGUGUUCCUGUGCAUAUUUUAUUACCUAUAUGUACAAAUAUUUAGAUUGAGUAUUUGUUUAUAUUAUUUGAAUGUAGAUAUUAUAUAGAUUUGUUAAAAUAAUAGACAGCAAUGCCUUAUUUUCAAUAAGUUACCACAUUAGGCUCUAUUGUAGUAUGAAUGUGAACUGUCCUCCAUAAGCUUGUAUGUUGAAAUACUCGUUUUUAGUUGGUGGUGAAAGUUUGGAACCUUGUAAAAUGUGUAUUACACAGAGCCUUGUAGAAACAAGUGCCUCAAUGUAGGGUAAACCUUGGUGUUCAAAAGCCUGGUUCCAUUAUAUAUCAACUGCUUCCUCACUGCAGAGGCAAUGCAAACAGCCAGUUCAUACUGCUGCUGCCUUCCCUUCUCUGCCAUGGAAGAAUGUAUAAUUCCUAGAAUUGCAAGCCCAAGUAAACCCUUCUUUAAGA